UUUCUUAUUACUGUCCCAUUUCUAACUGAGGCAAAUCAUUGUUCAACCUUUUCUCUGGCAUCAUUAUUCCCUUAUGCUAGGAAAGCGUUCCAGUCAGUGCUCUGUCUAGAGAGCAGUUCUGCUGGGUGCGAGCACGCACUUUACACGUGCCUUUUAGUAAACUGUACAUUCUGGGGAAGUAUUUGUCACAUAUGAAGAGUCUAGACUACCCAGAUGAGACCAUUACGUUGUCAUCUGGCCAUAACCCAAAACAAAUAUUAUCCCUCCCGUGACUACAUUAGACUAAUAUCACUAAGUCCUUAAAUACUCCCAAGCGUUCUUGUUUCCUCCUGGCUUGUGUCCUGUUCCAUCAGAAUGAAGCAGGCUUGUGCACUGUGCUGCAGCUCUGAUGAGGAAAUGGGCCAUUUGGUGGCAUUUCAGCCCAUUUGCUACACACAGAUGGGCAGAUGGAGUGCUGGCUGUGCACAUCGGCUUCACCCAAACCAGUCUGUGGUCACUCAUGCCAGGGACCUGCUGCAGGCCUUCUCACCUUUGGGGAGCUUAUGGUGUCCUUUGAAUCUUCGAACAUUCUUCAGGACUGAUAUUUAUGCCUGCUGGAGCCUGAGGAGCUGUUGGGUUGAUGAGAAUGACACAGGACACCAGAGCAAUCUGUUGGGGUUUGUGAUGGAGGCAUUUGGAAAAUGCUCACCUUCAGCUGCCCCAAGGUGCUGACUGAGGUUGGGAGAGCAGAGAGCAGAGCUGUCAGCUUCCUUGUAUACAAAGGAGGAUCUUUUUUCCCAACUCCAAAGCCAGAGCUGCCUCAAGCUGUGCCUCCCGGACUGCCCAAUCAGCCUCAGAUUCUGCGGCAUCACAGAAUCAUGGAGUAUCUGAGACUGGAAAGGACCCACAAGAAUCAUUGUGCCCAACUCCUGGCUCCCCAAAAUCAAACCAUAUGAGUGAGGCAGACAUCCUCCUGUUUGUUCUUGAAUGAGGGCAGAGUUCCCCUUUCUGGCCUGGGAGAAGAUCAUGAUGGUGUUUUUCCCUGGGAAUCAAAUCCCCGUUCUUAGUUCUCCUGUGAUCUAAGGGCCUCAUAAGCUGAGGCAUUGCUUUCUAUGACAAAGCCUUCCUUCUCACUUCCUCUCUCUUCCCCUCCAGCCAGGGCAGUUUCAGCAGAGGUAUCACAAUAGUGUCUCUGCCCCACAACAGGGCAUGAUGCUGGGGCUGGGCUGUGAAGGAGGAUGCCUGAAGUAAAACUCCAAGAACAACCAUGCUAGGACAGAUCAAGAGGCCAUGCAUCCCACUCCUGUCUUUGAAAGUCAUUAGUAGGAGAUACAUAGGGAAACAACAUAAUAAAAAGAGAGAAAAGGAGCAACGUUUACUGUAUCAUACUUGCCCAGCUUCUAGAAAUCAGCAGCUCAGGAAAAAUCAAACCUUUCUUUUCCUUUUCCUUUUCCUUUUCCUUUUCCUUUUCCUUUUCCUUUUCCUUUUCCUUUUCCUUUCCCUUU
ensembl:lncRNA